GUUGACACUUCAAAGCUGAUUGGAGGAUGACUACAAACUGUACUGUGCAAACGCAGUCCCAGGGACAGGCAUGGAAAGACUGAAAACACUGCUGAAGGGGACUUCUGGGGCCCUGCAAGUUUAAAGGGUGAGGAUAAGCAAGUAUGCUAAAUGUCCCUGAACUGUUGGUGUGAGCUGCGACUUUUCUGAAACCUCCUAUGCCAAGAAGAGACUGUUCUGCCUCCACCAUAGAGACCCUUCAUUGGCAACUAUAUUGACAUGUCCACAGUUGGCUCCCAGUGAAGAAAAGCCAGGCUGGAGAAAUUAUGCCAUUGGGUAAAUCACAUAGAUUUCCCCCUCUACCUAAAGGAGACAGAAAGGAAUGUGCAGAGUCAAACAAUGACGACAAAACAGACAAACCAAAUGGACCACCAGUAUUCUUUGGGAGGCAGUGAUGCAAGGCUUCAGAACUAAUAAAGAUCCCGGUAUGGGUGUGUGAGUUUCGUGACAAGGGAGCA